CCUACGGGUGGCAGCAGUGGGGAAUAUUGCGCAAUGGGCGAGAGUCUGACGCAGCGACGCCGCGUGAGGGAUGAAGGUCUUCGGAUCGUAAACCUUUGUCAGUAGGGAAGAACGGUCACUGUGCUAAUCAGCAGUGAAUUGACGGUACCUGCAAAGGAAGCACCGGCUAACUCCGUGCCAGCAGCCGCGGUAAUACGGAGGGUGCGAGCGUUAAUCGGAAUUACUGGGCGUAAAGCGCUCGUAGGCGGUAUGUCAAGUCAAGGGUGAAAGCCCCGCGCUCAACGUGGGAACUGCCUUUGAAACUGGCAAACUGGAGUGUAGGAGAGGAUAGUGGAAUUCGAGGUGUAGGAGUGAAAUCCGUAGAUAUCUGGAGGAACAUCAGUGGCGAAGGCGACUAUCUGGCACAUAACUGACGCUGAGGAGCGAAAGCGUGGGUAGCAAACAGGAUUAGAUACCCGUGUAGUC
rnacentral:rRNA from 1 species